rnacentral:tRNA from 1 species
GGUGAGAUGGCCGAGUGGUUGAAGGCGCACCCCUGCUAAGGGUGUAUAUAGUUAUGCUAUAUCGAGGGUUCGAAUCUCUCUCUCACCG